AGUGGGCUGUGUCUGAGGGUUAAUUUACUCGUCGAGCCCUUCGUCGCAAGCGACGGGUUCGAUGAGAACGAUGACCGGUGCUUGAGGUACCUAAAGCACCGUUAGUGGAUCGGGAGGAUCCGAAAUGACGUGUUUGUGGCGACGUCGACUGCUUUCCAUUCUUUCCGUAGGAUCGGGAAUGUAGUUAGCGGCGGCCACGAUGAGAGGGUUCCGUGUCGUGCCGCUUUAUCGAAGUAGCAAUAACUAUGUUGUCACCUGAAGUAUUAGAUAUCAGUUUAAUGCAUUUAUCGAUAUACCUAGGUACCUACUCAACGCAUCACUGAUUAGAAAUGACAUCAGCUGUCAAAAACAUAACCUAAAGUCCUUUAAAUAAAUUACUAACAAGCGAUAAAACUGGAUUAAACUCGUUAAUAAACAACAAAUUAAAUAUGAAGAAUGGACGAUAACUCGAAACACGCAUCCUCAUAUCAAUUAGACCAGGAAAUACUCGACGCUAGAGGCAUAGAAAUGACAGUGGAAGAGGUGGUUGAAUUACCGACUUGCAAGUAUGCAGAUCGCGUUCAUUCACUGAAAUUAAGUGAAGACGAUUUAGCAUUCCUUAAAGGAUUAAGAAGAAGGAUCAAGAAUAGAUUAGCAUCACAGAACAGCAGACGCCGAAGCGUUGAAAAUUUAAGGCGUUUGACGCGCGAGCUCAGGGCGGUGCGCGCUUGUAGACGAGACGCUUUAUCCGAAAGGCGGAGUCUGGUCGCGCAGCGGGACUCGAUCAGGGAGCAGUGCGUGGCUCUCCGGGCGUACUUAGUGCAGGCAUUAAGCGAACGUUCGGACAGCUCCGCGAUUCCGUCGAUACAAAAUCCGGCCCAGAAUCCGCACGAAUCUCCCGCGAAAUCUCGUUCCUCGUCUCCGCGCACCGAAUAUUCUAGCGACCGCAGCAACCUCGCGAAGGACGACGUUUUCGAGCUGCGACUGGACCGGCUGGUGGACCGCAGCGUCGAUCGCCUGUUCAGGUGCGAUGACGUCAAAAAGAUCUGCGCCCAGACGUUCUACAUUAACGAAAGCAAAUACGAGGGCGUGCUCAAUUUGUCGGUGAAAGACGGCCGCCGGGGCCACGGUCGGAAGCAGACUGCGCCCAGACGGAUCGUGUACUGCGAUAGUGAGGAUAACGUUUUGGAUUUGAAAAUCAAAACGGAGAAGCCCUGAGGAAAAGUCUUAUGUGAUUACCUACACGAUUUCGAACGAUAAUCACAAUUUAGUAUUUAAAUACGUGGUAUGAGAUCAAAGUUUAUACGCGUCUCUCUGCCUAGGGAACAAACAGUGUUUUUAGGGUUCUAAUGUACGACCAAUCUGAGUGAAGGUGAUUCGAAAUUGCCGCCAAACGCAAAGCGUAUUUGACGUCUGACGUUGACGUACGUGUCAUAUUUGACAGCUGUCAGUUUGAUUAAAACGUGCAAAAGUUAGUUUAAGGCACAGGUGUAAAUAGUCGUUUAUUCAUUAAUAAAGCUCAACUCGAAUGCUUUCUGUCGUUCUGGUAAUAAGCGUCCGUCGCUUAAAAGAAGACGUCGAGUGUACUGAGCUUUUUAUAGUUAAAUAGGAGUGAUGUGAACGAUAAAAGCGGGUGUGAUAAAAACGUUACUUGCAUAAGUGCGCGCGAUCUAAGUGCAACCGGUCGCCUAUUUUUGCCGUGAAGCAGCCUCGCGUUGUACGCUGCGAAUGAGACCGAGGCCUUUGUGACGUCACGCUUGUUACGUAAUGUAAUCCAGUAAAUGGCUUCGGAAAUAAAGCCGUCUUUUUGGUCCGGCGAUUCAGCUAGUUUCUGGGUUAUCGAAGUCUAUAAUUCCUCACUGAUCGAGGUUUUUAAAAAAAAAUCAUUAACGCCCACAUCUAAGUUUCCAGGGGAACGACUCUAAUUAGUACUAACGUCUGCUGAGAUAGUGUUGCCACAUUAAAUCCAACAAUACUUUUGGUCUUCCACUUAUACCAUGUAGACAUAAAUCAUCCUCUUCCACUUUUAAUUGAACCGUCUAAAUUCCUUACUUAAAACUUGAGCGAAAUUUUAUCAAUAAAAUAUUCGUACUUAAAUUAUCGUCGGGUUAAUCUGGAUACGGUGUGCUUAGUGUGAGUUUUUUGCCGCUAGGGGCGCUGUUCCAACUCCAUACAAAUUUGAGUUAACUUUGACGCUAUCGAAAACAUGAAAAUUACAGUGUGAAUACCGCCUUGAGAUAUAAGGUCGUAUUCUUAGAACGACUGUACCAACGCAUAACCGCCUAACUCGCUUAGGUAGGAUCAGUACCCGUCGCAAUACCAGUCACUUAAGCCGGUUCUAUGCCCCGUGUUCAUAGAUCCCUGUUUCAAAAGAAGAAAAAAACAUUUGAUAACUUUGACAGUAAUUUUGGCGGUCAAAUAUUGAACAAAAUGGCGUACGUUAAAGCCUUCUUAAUAGUAUGGAGGGUAGAAGUAAGGACCGUCUUGUAUAGGUGACAAGUUGAUAAACUGUCCGUCUGUAAACGGCGAGUUGUUAUUGGAAGACUCACCGAAGUAGCGCUAGUGUAGGAAGUGGAAAUGAUGUGGAUAUAGCAGUUUUAAACAGAGCGAAGUUGAAAAAUUUAAUAUUUUACGUGACUUUUGUAGUUCAAAAAUAUGCAGUAUUUAAAAUCUCAAUUAUUUUUAUUACUAUUAACGUAGGAAGUGUUUCUUUUCUUCUUAAUUUAGUAUCCUACUCUAAUAGUUUAUGGCGCGCUGCUUUUUAAAAUCUUUCCCCUUGCUACGUGGCGCCACCUUAAUUGGCUCCCUUCCAGCGGACACUUUUUAAUACACAAAGAUGUUGCUCCUUACUUCCUAGCCCAUUGAGAUUCUCGCCGGAUCUUUUCAGUGAGUCGCGUUUCCGAUCCGGUGGUAGAUUCUGCAAAGCACGGCUCUUGCUAGGGCCAGUGUUAGCAACACUUCCGGUUUGAGCCACGUGAGCUCACCUACACGUCAAGGAGAAGCUGAAAUAGCCUCUCAAGACUAUCAGUAUAGGUAGGAAAAAAAAUGUACUUGUACCAAAGAGGGCUUGUACCCUCCAAACUAAAUAGUUUACUGUAAUUUUUCAAAAAUGAAUGGCGUCCUUAUGAGAUGUCAUUUUUGACAUUUUGCGGUUUUUUUUUCAAUUACGAAAAUGACUACUGAAUAUUAGGAUCCGUUGUGCUAUGCGAUAAGUAUUUAAGUAAUAUAUGCUAUUCAAGUUAUACUUCUUUAGGCGCGUUAUGAAAAAUUGAUGAGAGUGAAAUUUUACGAUGCGCGCGCACCGUGACACAAAAUUAACAGAAUGAAGUUGCCUUCUAAAUCGCUCAUUACAAUACGACCGACGUAACUUGGCGAGUCUGAAUAUAGCCGCAGAUGAACUUUCCGAACCGUACCGAGAAUUACCGAAUUUAUACGAUGUCAAGAAAAGGGAUGUCCAAUAUGCGUGUUUGAGGAUGUUGUUUAAUCGAUUUUUUUCAAAUUGAUUAAAAUUUAAAUUAAAAAAAAAGAAAUAAAUUUAAUAAAAAUAAAGUAUAACUUCUUACGCGCCUACAUAAGUACACGCACCCUUUUUUUUAUUGAUAUCGAUUGUAGUGGCCAGUUUAAAAUUGCGUAAGUCUUCAACAGUCUGGAUAGAGUUGUUAAAGAGAAAUCUUGUUUAGUACAUUGCCAAAUUAAAAUUAUGUGCCAGUAGUAACGUUGACCGACAUUAUUAGGUCGAUCCGAAAGGUGACAUUUUUUAAAACAUCGUUGUCACACUACAUAAUUAUAAGAGGGUAGUAAAAUAGUUCAAGAGUGGAGGGCGCAAUAACAGAAGUUCGAAAUCGGACUAAGAUCGCGACAUCAGUGUGCUUAGUGAGAGUUUUUUAACGUUCUCUAUAGCGUAAAAGUUAACUCAAAUUGAGAUAAUAUGAGAUAAUAGUUCUAAGGUCUCAGUUUUUACAGUACAACGGCAGCCCCGCCCUAUAAACCGAAACGCGUUAUUGCUUCGCGGCAGAAAUGGGCAGGUCGGUGAUACCUACUGGAGCGGAUUCACAAGUCGAUCCCCCCACCAGUAAAAACCGUUUUUGCUUAGACGUUUAUCAUGUCUUCGCGUAUUAUGUUCAUAUCACGACAAUCUUCCACUUUUUAUAUGCGGAAUAUAUGAUAAUUGCUGUAUCAACUAAAAACCGGAGUCAUUAGAAAGAUAAUUCCGCACUUAUUUCAUAUUUAGGAAUUUUGCUAAAGUAACGCCAUCUUUAAUUCGCAGAGCGAGAGCGAUUUUGCAAUUCUACCCUCCUUAAGUCGACCAAAAUUCAAACAAACCUCCAAACAUUAUGUAUACUGACAGAUUGAAGCCAUAUAAAAAAAAGUUGUAUAUAUCGACGCUUGAAAGGCAAACGUGACUAAGCGACAAUGCGUGAACUUUACAGUAGACUAAUUUAAAUUUGAAAUACCUGAAAACAAAUAUAUUUUAACGAAUCUAGCUGUAGGAUUGAAAUGAUUUUAAUAGACCUAGAAAUAUAUAUUUUUUGCGCAUCGAAUAUGGUUAUUGCCUAUCAUUUAUGUAAAAAGCAGUUAUUGUCGCUUAGUCACGUUUGCCUUUCAAGCGUCGAUAUAUAAUUAUGUAUUUUUUUGUGUAUAUUUUUUAAGACCAAAUAAAUAUUAAUGCUUUAAGUAAAUAACCAAUUUACGUAGGUACGUGUUUUUAUAUUGUUGUAUGUACGAGUAUAAAUAUUUUAUUAAAAACGGUUUUUUUUUUAAGAAAAUUAUUAAAGAUUUAAAAUAUU